rnacentral:rRNA from 1 species
GACAGAGGGUGCAAACGUUGUUCGGAAUUACUGGGCGUAAAGGGCUCGUAGGCGGCCAACUAAGUCAGACGUGAAAUCCCUCGGCUUAACCGGGGAACUGCGUUUGAUACUGGAUGGCUUGAGGUUGGGAGAGGGAUGCGGAAUUCCAGGUGUAGCGGUGAAAUGCGUAGAUAUCUGGAGGAACACCGGUGGCGAAGGCGGCAUCCUGGACCAACACUGACACUGAGGAGCGAAAGCCAGGGGAGCAAACGGG